AGUAUGAAGCCCUGAGGGCUGAGACCACAUCUGCCUGGUUUUCUGUGGCAGCUGCAGCAUCAACACUGGCUCUUCGAAGAGUAGCAGCUGAUGAACAUUACUCCGGCAAACAAUUUUCUCUGCUAGGAACUGGAUAAAUGCAAAGGAAGGAGGGGAGAGUGUGUCAGACGGGGACCCUGCCCUACUGGAGCACACGCAUCACCACCUGGGUUAGGACGGCCUCACCCGUCCCCUGGACCUUCACCUUAUGUCCCAGAGAGGAGACAUCUGCUAGAGCAAAGAAAAUUCAUUGUCAUAUAAAACAAACAAGAAAACACACACACACAUGUGCACACACACAUACAGAAAGCAAAUAAAAC
rnacentral:lncRNA from 1 species